rnacentral:rRNA from 1 species
GACGAACGCUGGCGGCGUGCCUAAUACAUGCAAGUCGAACGGUAGCACAGAGAGCUUGCUCUCGGGUGACGAGUGGCGGACGGGUGAGUAAUGUCUGGGAAACUGCCCGAUGGAGGGGGAUAACUACUGGAAACGGUAGCUAAUACCGCAUAACGUCGCAAGACCAAAGUGGGGGACCUUCGGGCCUCAUGCCAUCAGAUGUGCCCAGAUGGGAUUAGCUAGUAGGUGGGGUAAUGGCUCACCUAGGCGACGAUCCCUAGCUGGUCUGAGAGGAUGACCA